UACGAAGGGGGCUAGCGUUGCUCGGAAUCACUGGGCGUAAAGCGCACGUAGGCGGACUCUUAAGUCGGUGGUGAAAUCCUGGAGCUCAACUCCAGAACUGCCUUCGAUACUGAGGAUCUUGAGUCCGGGAGAGGUGAGUGGAACUGCGAGUGUAGAGGUGAAAUUCGUAGAUAUUCGCAAGAACAGCCAGUGGCGAAGCGGCUCGCUGGACCCGGUACUGACGCCUGGAGGUGACGAAAGCGUGGGGAGCAAACAGG
rnacentral:rRNA from 1 species